AUAUUUGACAAACCAAAAUACAAUUGCAAUCCCUUAAAAUGAGCAAAACGCACCUAAAUACAUUUCUUAUCAGUUCACUAAAUCUUAUUUCUCCUAUAUUUGAACUAGAUUUUGAUAACUAUUUAAAACAAAAAUUUGUUUGACAAACUAAAAUAUAAUUGCAAUCCCGUAAAAUAUUUAUUUAAAUUAGCGGUGUACCGCGGAUUUUUUUUAACGGGACGGGUUUGGCGGAACGGGUUUGGAAGGAUAUUACUUAAUAACAAUUGUAAACUAAAAAAU
rnacentral:sRNA from 1 species